AUUGUAGUCUGCAACCCGACUACAUGAAGCUGGAAUCGCUAGUAAUCGCGAAUCAGAAUGUCGCGGUGAAUACGUUCCCGGGUCUUGUACACACCGCCCGUCACACAUGGGAGUCGGAAAUGCCCGAAGUCAGUGACCUAACCGAAAGGGAGGAGCUGCCGAAGGUGGAGCCGGUAACUGGGGUGAAGUCGUAACAAGGUACC
rnacentral:rRNA from 1 species